GAUGAACGCUGGCGGCGUGCCUAAUACAUGCAAGUCGAGCGAACAGACGAGGAGCUUGCUCCUCUGACGUUAGCGGCGGACGGGUGAGUAACACGUGGAUAACCUACCUAUCCUACUGGGAUAACUUCGCGAAACCGGAGCUAAUACCUGCUAAUAUAUUGACCCUCAUGGUUCCCUAGUGAAAGACGGUUUUGCUGUCACUUAUAGAUGGAUCCGCGCCGCAUUAGCUAGUUGGUAAGGUAACGGCUUACCAAGGCAACGCUGCGUAGCCGACCUGAGAGGGUGAGCGGCCACACUGGAACUGAGACACGGCCCAGACCACUACGGGAGGCAGCAGUAGGGAAUCGUACGCAAUGGGAGGAAGCUUGACGUAGCAACGCCGCGUGGGGGAUGAAGGUCUUGGGAUCUGAGAACUCUGUUAUUAGGGAAGAACAAAUGAGUAAGUAACUAGGCACGUCUUGACGGUACCGAAUCAGAAAGCCACGGCUAACUACGUG
rnacentral:rRNA from 1 species